UACGUAGGGGGCGAGCGUUGUCCGAAUUUACUGGGCGUAAAGCGCGCGUAGGCGGUUCUUUAAGUCUGGGGUGAAAGGUUCAGCGCUCAACGCGAACAGUGCCCUGGAGACUGGGGGACUUGAGUGUGGCAGGGGGGACCGGAAUUCCUGGUGUAGAGGUGAAAUGCGUAGAUAUCAGGAGGAACACCGGUGGCGAAGGCGGGUCCCUGGGCUAACACUGACGCUGAGGCGCGAAAGCGUGGGGAGCGAACGGG
rnacentral:rRNA from 1 species